rnacentral:tRNA from 1 species
GGGGCAUUAGCUCAGUUGGUAGAGCGCUUCGUUCGCAACGAAGAGGUCAGCGGUUCAAUUCCGCUAUGCUCCA